rnacentral:rRNA from 1 species
CCUACGGGUGGCAGCAGUGAGGAAUAUUGGUCAAUGGGCGCGAGCCUGAACCAGCCAAGUAGCGUGAAGGAUGACUGCUCUACGGGUUGUAAACUUCUUUUGUAAAGGAAUAAAGUGAGGCACGUGUGCCUUUUUGUAUGUACUUUAUGAAUAAGGAUCGGCUAACUCCGUGCCAGCAGCCGCGGUAAUACGGAGGAUGCGAGCGUUAUCCGGAUUUAUUGGGUUUAAAGGGAGCGUAGGUGGGUUGGUAAGUCAGGUGGGAAAGUUUGCGGGUCAAACGUAGACGUGCAAUUGAUACUGGCAGUCUUGAGUGCGCGUGAGGUAGGCGGAAUGCGUGGUGUAGCGGUGAAAUGCUUAGAUAUCGCGAAGAACUCCGAUUGCGAAGGCAGCGUACUAAACUGCGACUGACAUUGAGGCACGAAAGCGUGGGGAGCGAACAGGAUUAGAUACCCUUGUAGUC